GGCAGUAUUGAGUGAGCUUUGCAACUGAACUGUAUUUACAUCACACAUUUUCCAGUAUCUCUACUGGUAGAGAUGGAUGUUCUAAUACUUCACUUCUACUACUUGCAGGCUUCCUUUUUGUGCUUUUUAUUUCGAGAUUUGUUAAACGCAGUUUUGUCUCUCCCAGUUUUGAGAAACGUCUGUGCGAGCUGUACGACAAUAUGAGAACCUUUACAACCCUUCGAUGCUGUUGUAUUCGGACAAGCAAGCAAACUGCUGGAGGGAGAUAUCACAACAUUUGAACACCGGUACUGAUAUCAAAGAAACAUUGAGAAAGAUUUGGGACCAGUAUGUACAAUCUGAAAGGGGUGAAGAAGAUGAUGUGUCCCACCGAUUGUCAGACAACUGGAAUGGCUUUGUGUUAUUGUGAGACCCUGUCAGAUACGGCUGUCAAUGUCGUUCUCCUCAGACGAGGAGGAGCAUGUCAAUGUCGUUCUCCUCAGACGAGGAGGAGCAUGGAUCGGACCAAGAUGCGGAUUGGUGUUGGAGAGGGGUGAUGAUUUGGAUAGUCCAGAGACGGAGCUGAGCCCUGAGGGCCCAUCUACAGGUGAUUCAUUGCCCCUUGAUUCAUCAUCUCCCCAACGCCCUGGCCCUUCUCACCAACACCCAACCCACCGUCCAGACGCACCCUUGCUCUCUGCCCUGCAACUCAACUCCAUCAACCUCCAACCAAUCUCCCGAGCCAGAUCCAAUGGCCGGAAGAGGAAGACAGCUGCGGAUCCUUUGGACACUGACAUUAUGCAGCGGGUGGAUGACUUAAAAGAAACGGCAGCAUGAGUUACAGAAACAGCAGCAGUGUCCAGCAAAGGCCGUCUACGACGUAAUGGUAACAUGGAUGGUGCUUAUUCCUGCUGAUCAACUGUUUGUCUCACCCCAAAACUGUAAUUGUGUGCUUUCUUUUCAAAUUCAUACAUUAGGCAGGUGAGUAAUUUACUGGGGGGGGGGGGGGGUUGCAUGUUUUUAUACUUACUGUAUUUCCUCAUUCACAUGUUACUGGUGUUUACUCAGUUAUUUCUCUUAUUUCCCCUUUCAUCACACUUUCACCUAUGUUUUACAUUGCACUAUUUUCUUCUUAUAAUAGUAAAUAAAUAUAUGAAAAG